UCCAGACUCCUACGGGAGGCAGCAGUGAGGAAUAUUGGUCAAUGGGCGGAAGCCUGAACCAGCCAAGUCGCGUGAGGGAAUAAGGCCCUACGGGUCGUAAACCUCUUUUGCCGGGGAGCAAGGGCGGGGACGUGUCCCGGCCCGGAGAGUACCCGGAGAAAAAGCAUCGGCUAACUCCGUGCCAGCAGCCGCGGUAAUACGGAGGAUGCGAGCGUUAUCCGGAUUUAUUGGGUUUAAAGGGUGCGUAGGCGGGGUUUUAAGUCAGCGGUAAAAAUGCGGGGCGCAACCCCGUCCGGCCGUUGAAACUGUGGCCCUUGAGUGCGCGAAGGGUAGGCGGAAUGCGUGGUGUAGCGGU
rnacentral:rRNA from 1 species